CUUACCAUGCAGUCGAACGGUAAGGCUCCUUCGGGGGUACACGAGUGGCGAACGGGUGAGUAACACGUGAGUAACCUGCCCUUGACUUCGGGAUAACAUUUGGAAACAGAUGCUAAUACCGGAUAUUCAACUUUGAACACAUGUUUUUGGUUGGAAAGUUCCGGCGGUCAAGGAUGGACUCGCGGCCUAUCAGCUUGUUGGUGAGGUAAUGGCUCACCAAGGCGUCGACGGGUAGCCGGCCUGAGAGGGCGACCGGCCACAUUGGGACUGAGAUACGGCCCAAACUCCUACGGGAGGCAGCAGUGGGGAAUAUUGCACAAUGGGCGAAAGCCUGAUGCAGCAACGCCGCGUGCGGGAUGACGGCCUUCGGGUUGUAAACCGCUUUCAUCCAUGACGAAGCUUUUUGUGACGGUAGUGGAAGAAGAAGCACCGGCUAACUACGUGCCAGCAGCCGCGGUGAUACGUAGGGUGCGAGCGUUGUCCGGAUUUAUUGGGCGUAAAGAGCUUGUAGGCGGUUUGUCACGUCGGGAGUGAAAACUCAGGGCUUAACCCUGAGCCUGCUUCUGAUACGGGCAGACUUGAGGAAGGUAGGGGAGAAUGGAAUUCCUGGUGGAGCGGUGGAAUGCGCAGAUAUCAGGAGGAACACCAGUGGCGAAGGCGGUUCUCUGGACCUUUCCUGACGCUGAGAAGCGAAAGCGUGGGGAGCAAACAGGCUUAGAUACCCUGGUAGUCCACGCCGUAAACGGUGGGUACUAGGUGUGGGGGACAUUCCACGUUCUCCGUGCCGCAGCUAACGCAUUAAGUACCCCGCCUGGGGAGUACGGC
rnacentral:rRNA from 1 species